GCGGCGUACGGGUGCGGAACACGUGUGCAACUGCCUUUAUCUGGGGGAUAGCCUUUCGAAAGGAAGAUUAAUACCCAUAAUAUGUUGAAUGGCAUCAUUCGACAUUGAAACUCCGGUGGAUAGAGAUGGGCACGCGCAAGAUUAGAUAGUUGGUGAGGUAACGGUUCACCAAGUCUACGAUCUUUAGGGGGCCUGAGAGGGUGAUCCCCCAAACUGGUACUGAGACACGGACCAGAUUCCCUACGGGAGGCAGCAGUGAGGAAUCAUUGGACAAUGGGUGAGAGCCUGAUCCAGCCAUACCCGCGUGAAGGACGACUUGCCCUAUGGGUUGUCAAACUUCUUUUGUAUCAGGGAUAAACCUACCCUCGUGAGGGUAGCUGAAGGUACUAUACGAAUAAGCACCGGUAACUCCGUGCCAGCAAAGNCGCGGUAAUACGGAGGGUGCAAGCGUUAUCCGGAUUUAUAUGGGUUCAAAAGGGUCCGUAGCGGAUCUGUAAGUCAGUGGUGAAAUCUCACAGUUUAAAUGUGAAAUUGCCAUUGAUACUGCAGGUCUUGAGUGUAGGUNGGAAGUAGCUGGAAUAAGGUAAGUGUAGCGGUGAA
rnacentral:rRNA from 1 species